rnacentral:rRNA from 1 species
GACGAACGCUGGCGGCGUGCCUAACACAUGCAAGUCGAACGGAGCUAUUAUGGAAGUACCUUCGGGUGCGGAAGUUUUAGCUUAGUGGCGAACGGGUGAGUAACGCGUGAGCAACCUGCCUCUCAGUGGGGGACAACAGUUGGAAACGACUGCUAAUACCGCAUAAAGCAUCGAGACCGCAUGAUCAUGAUGCCAAAGAUUUAUUGCUGAGAGAUGGGCUCGCGUCUGAUUAGAUAGUUGGUGGGUAACGGCCUACCAAGUCGACGAUCAGUAGCCGGACUGAGAGGUUGAACGGCCACAUUGGGACUGAGAUACGGCCCAG